UACGUAGGGUGCGAGCGUUAAUCGGAAUUACUGGGCGUAAAGCGUGCGCAGGCGGUUCGUUAAGUCAGAUGUGAAAGCCCCGGGCUCAACCUGGAAACUGCAUUUGAAACUGGCGGGCUUGAGUGUGGCAGAGGGGGGUGGAAUUCCGCGUGUAGCAGUGAAAUGCGUAGAGAUGCGGAGGAACACCGAUGGCGAAGGCAGCCCCCUGGGCCAACACUGACGCUCAGGCACGAAAGCGUGGGGAGCAAACAGG
rnacentral:rRNA from 1 species